CGACACCACGCGGCGGGCCGCGCGCAUCGCCGGUGUCGCGGACGUUUCCCGCGCCGUUCAUGCCCACUGCAGCACGGGCGGAGAGUAAAACCCGGUGCGGGACGGGCAUCCACACCCACGGGGCUCUCCGGAGGAACGCUCGCUCGCGUCUCCUGGCCACUUGUGGUGGGAGAUGUGGAGAUGGUGAUCAGUACGUGUGUGUGGGGGGGGGGGGGGCACCCCGACCCCGAAUGCCGUUCCCGCGUUCCGCGUGACUCGCGCGGGGUGCCGGGAAAAGUCGAGGAGAGUCCGUGACUGCGUUCGGAUCCAGAUGGGGGGGGGGGGUUCGGUUCCGUGGGCGCGUGGGCACGGUGCGCGCGGCAGAUCUCGCGGUGUUUAUUGUUCACUCGGAGUCCGUCCGGUAAUAAAAAACGUCGGCGGCCUGAUAAGAAAGCGGCGCGGAGAACGACGGUAACGUCGUAACGUAGAAAAAAAAAAAGCGCCGGAUCCAGCCAGGCGGAGGAGAAUAGACGGGAACGCGGCCAGGGACGGGCUCUACUCAGAAGUGGGAGAACCUGAACGUGACGUCAAUGCCUAGUAACUGACGCAGCCCCCCAACAUUAACAAAAAAAGAAGAAGAAGAUGAGGAAGAUGAAGAAGUCUGCGCGCGGCGCGCCGCGGUCCCGGGGUGCGGAGGAGAGGCGACCGGGGAGCCCGGCCUUGGCGUGUCCGGAGGGGACAGCCGCCCCUGUCCCCCUGUCCCCGCUCAGGACGAGAUUGUGUCUCGGACUUGCUGCCGGUGAGGUUCUGACCACCUCUCGUCCCCGUUCUGCGUCACCGGCCGCACAGCGAUGUGUUUUCAGACGACAGGACAAGAUAUGGACAGUGUCAACAUUUGAUAAGGUUUAAGAGAAAGAUAUUUCCAUUCAUAAAGGACUGCAGACUGGGAUCUUGCCAGGAGCGCAGGAGAAGGGGCAUCGGCUGCUGUGCGCCCAGCAGAUUCCAGGAUCACCCUGCUUACUGGUCCCACAACACUGGGAAUUACGCUGGGACUUGUCCUGGGGGGGUUGAGGCAGACGUUACCCCACGUCUGAUGCGUGUCAGAAGACUACACAACGUUGCAGCGUUUUCCAAAUUAAAGUCAUAUGUCUUAUAUAUUAGGCUAUUUUUUUUUUACUCCACAGGAAAUAUUUGGCUUUUCUGGCUUAAAGCGUACGUGUGAGGCGCAGUUGCCUAAAAGUUCAGAAGUUUUCUGUGUUUGCUGCACUGCUGUUUGAACUGGUUUUAUAGACUGUAAUAAAACAUAAAAAUAAAAAAAAAAACA
rnacentral:lncRNA from 1 species